UACGGAGGAUGCGAGCGUUAUCCGGAUUUAUUGGGUUUAAAGGGUGCGCAGGCGGCGUGUCAAGCAAGCGGUAAAAUAGCGGGGCUCAACCCCGUCGAGCCGUUUGAACUGGCGCGCUUGAGUUCAGGCGAGGUAGGCGGAAUUCCUAGUGUAGCGGUGAAAUGCGUAGAUAUUAGGAGGAACACCAGUGGCGAAGGCGGCCUGCUGGACGGUGACUGACGCUGAGGCUCGAAAGCGUGGGGAGCAAACAGG
rnacentral:rRNA from 1 species